rnacentral:lncRNA from 1 species
GAGGACCGCGGGCGGCGCUCUGUCUCCCUGUCUCUAUGGUCGCUGACGCCGCUCUGGCCGCGCGGUUCCUCUUUUCUCCCCGCCUCUUUGCGGUAUCCGCUCCGUGACUCCGCCCCUUCCGGUGGCGCUCUGCCCCGCGCGUCUCUGUGCUCCGGAGUCCUCCAACGCCGUGCGGAGCGGUGAGGAGUUGUGGGGCGGCCCCAUAGAGACGCUCCACUCCGAAGCCCCGCCCACUCCGAGAAGACCACGCCCACAAACAUUCAGACCACGCCCCCUUUGGCUAAGCCCCGCCCAUUCCCCCUUGAAGCCCCGCCCACGGGCCGCCAUGGCCCCGCCCCUUUUGUGGGCGUGGCCGCUGCUGGCCCUGGCGGUGGGCGGGGCGGUGGGCGGGGCUUGCACCGGAAAGAGGUGGAGCCUAACAGGAAGCGGAGCUUUGAGUGAUGGCGCCGGGAACUACUCGGUGAUGGGGGACUGCAUCUGGGUGCUGCACGCCCCCCCUGGGCAGCACACGCUGCUGACGCUGACGGGAACCCAUAGGGACCCCAUAGAGACUCAUAGGGCCCCAAAGGGAGUCACAG